AAUAUGAUUUGCUGACAAAUUAGAUGAGGGGUAUAAGGGAGAGAAGUCAAGUGAUGACUAAAGCUUUUGCCCUGAGCCACUGGAAGAACAGAACCACCAUUUAUUCUGAUUAAGAAGUCCUGGAAUUUGGUUUGGGACAUAUUACAUUAGAGAUGCCCAUUUGAAACAUUUGAGGGGAAAUGCUGAAUGGGUGGUUGGAUAUAAAACUGGAGUUUAGGAGAGAGGUCUAAGCUUGAAACAUAAACCUGGGAGAUGUCAACCUAUAGGUGGUUUUUCAAAUUACGAGACCAGAUGGGCUCAUCAAGAAAGUAGACACAGACGAAGAAGAGUAGAGGUUCAGGAACUGAGCCCUGGAACCCUCCAACAUUUAUAGUCAGAGAGGCAAACAGAAACCAGUGAAGAAGAAUAAGGAGUUGACAGUAAAGUAGAAGAAAAACUAGGAGAAGUGUCAUGACCUGAAAGCAAAUGAAGAAAGCAUUUCAGGGAGGAAGGAGUGUUUGACUGUGUUGAAGACUACUGAUGGGCCAAGUAAGAUGAAGACUGAGAAUAGAUCAUUUGAUUGAAGGAAUGUAGGCAACUUUUGGGCACUGAGAACAGAUCACUGGAAUGCUAACACCGAGGACAGUUUGCUUCAAAGAGGGGCAGCACAGAAAUGUGUAUUAACUGGAGAAUAGGAGAUGCUAACUAAAGAAAUAUACCAGGCAUCCCGGGUAGUGCUAAAGGCACUUUUGAGGUUCAAAGUCAUGAAUUUUAAGUGAGAAAGGCUGGGU
rnacentral:lncRNA from 1 species